UACGUAGGGUGCAAGCGUUGUCCGGAUUUAUUGGGCGUAAAGAGCUCGUAGGCGGUCUGUCGCGUCGGAUGUGAAAACCCAGGGCUCAACCCUGGGCCUGCAUUCGAUACGGGCAGACUAGAGUACGGCAGGGGAGACUGGAAUUCCUGGUGUAGCGGUGAAAUGCGCAGAUAUCAGGAGGAACACCGGUGGCGAAGGCGGGUCUCUGGGCCGAAACUGACGCUGAGGAGCGAAAGCGUGGGGAGCAAACAGG
rnacentral:rRNA from 1 species